ACAGGCCACAACACUCCUAGCACCCACCAUCAGAUCCCCUUUUCCUCCUCCUCUGACGCUACCACCACUGCCUCUGCUCCUCGAUUCCAACCGCCGGAGCCAUGAAUCGACGCAGGAAAGAACAAUAAGAUGCUCCCCAUGGACUGCACUGCCUAUUCGUGACCACCGCCAUGUCUUUCCGACCUUGUCUGCCCUGGUGGUAUGGCUGCUGGUCGGGGUUCAACUCUGGCGUCGCUUGUUCUGUCAAUGUCCUUGUGGACGAAGAAGAGCUAAGCAGCAGCAAGCACAGUCUAGCUGGUUUGAUGUCAACUGGUGAUGAUAACGAAAUCAAGGAGGUAAAUAUUCAGUUAGCAAGCAAUGAUGGUGAAACAAAGGAUGUAAAUAUUCAGUUAGCAAGUAAUGCUCCAAUAUAUUGAAAGCGGAAGAAGAAACUGAAGGCAAGACAAAAGAGGAAGAAGAAAUUACCACCGACAGCGGCGUCAGCAACCUCUUCAACAGGGCGCUUGCCUAAACUUAUCUCCCACCUCCGGGACUGGACAUCUACCACUAAAGAAGAGGCAAGAGACCGUUCUGACGAAAACGUGCGAAGCCGAAGGGAAAAUAGAAGGAUCCAUGGCAACCCCAUCACUGCCGGCACGAACCAGAGGAUCUGCGGUAAACCAGGCACAGCCGAAGAGGGGUGGACAGCAGCAGUAUGUAACAUAGGUGUAGCAGACGUAGCAGAAAGCAAAGGAACACGUACAGGCACGGAAGACCUAGCAGGGCCAACAACAACAGGAGCAGUAUUCUGCAAGAGACGACGGCGGCGUGCAGGCAGAGAAGCAGAAGAUGAUAACGAUUGAUACAGAUGACCAGAUCCCCAGCCUGCACCUUCGACAUAUUUCAUAGCAGCUGGAGAACCAUCGUGAAGCAAAGAGAAAGCCCUAGGAGGACGAUUAGAGGCAACAACAGCAACUGAACCAACAGUUGGGGCGGCAGCAGCAGGAAGAGCAGCAGAGGAGACUCGGCCACGGGCACCAUGACGACCUCGGCCUACCGACUGCCACGGGCACCAUGACGACCUCGGCCUACCGACUGAGAAGAUGGCUCAUCCAGGCCACGCCGGCGACGCGGCGCUGAAUAGGAAGACAAAUAAACAACC